rnacentral:misc_RNA from 1 species
UAAUAAAAAUCGAGGUGUUGCUUUUUGUGACGCAUCGGAAUUGGGUUAUCUUUGAUCUCAAAUAAAGGUUUAAGAGACCUAAAAUUGAUACCUUACGCAUCUCAGACGUACAUAAGAAUACACUUUCUUUAUCCAUCCAGAAUUGCCAAUUCUUAUUAGGUAUGACCGUGUUGUUUGUGGCAAUCGUACCUAUAAUAUUACUCAUA